GGGGCUGUAGCUCAGGUGGUAGAGCAUCUGCCUUUUAAGCAGAGGGUCGAUGGUUCGAGUCCAUCCAGCCUCA
rnacentral:tRNA from 1 species